UUAGGUAGAGGUUGCAAAUAACAUGAGUAUUUUAAAUGAGCCGGACAGGUGUUGAUGUUAAAAGAAAGGGAAAUUUGCCGAAAUGGAGAUUAUGUCAAAAGUCUUUGUUGGGAGUAUAGAGAAUAUCUAUACUACUGUCACUGAGAAAUCAGUGUUGUGCUAUC
rnacentral:ncRNA from 1 species